rnacentral:rRNA from 1 species
UAGAGUUUGAUCCUGGCUCAGAUUGAACGCUGGCGGCAUGCUUUACACAUGCAAGUCGAACGGCAGCGCGGGGCAACCUGGCGGCGAGUGGCGAACGGGUGAGUAAUAUAUCGGAACGUACCCAAGAGUGGGGGAUAACGUAGCGAAAGUUACGCUAAUACCGCAUACNAUCUAAGGAUGAAAGCAGGGGAUCUUCGGACCUUGUGCUCCUGGAGCGGCCGAUAUCUGAUUAGCUAGUUGGUGAGGUAAAGGCUCACCAAGGCCACGAUCAGUAGCUGGUCUGAGAGGACGACCAGCCACACUGGAACUGAGACACGGUCCAGACUCCUACNGGGGGCAGCA